UCGGAUGUCGUGCACGGCGCAUGCCCGCCCCGUGUCAAGAAAAGGCCAACCAUUGGACGCGGGAGCACUGGGUUCGACUCCCAGCGUCCGAA